rnacentral:lncRNA from 12 species
AUUGGUUUACUAAUCUGUGAAUCUUUUUUCUCCCUUCCUCUACCAUCAAAGUAAGCAUCUAUGCUGAGACUUCCUCAGUUGUACAGAAUCCAGCAUACUUCUUAAGAUGUCUUCACAAGUAGGAGACAAGUAGGAGAAUCCUGAUUCAAUAGGCUUGAACAAGAUUUGUUAUGUCCCAUUUCUGGAGUUUGGUGGGUAGGCUGGGCUCCAGCAGAGAACCCUCAAGGCUGCAGCACCAUCCGUUGAGGCUCCUCCCUGCUGUUUCAGACUGACUCUCACCCUGUUACAAGGUGGUUGUCAAUAGCAACAGAGACAAAGGGCUCUUUAGUUGGAGCAGAGAAGGGGGGGGAUGGAAGAGGUUCUACUUACUCUACUGUGGAGGUCCUGGCAGCAGAAUGCUUUAUAGAAGAGAAGAACAGCUGCAACUGGCCCAUCUCAGGAUUAAAAAAAAACACACACACACAAAAAACAGCAAAUGUGAAAAGACACAGAUGAUUAUUUAGAUUGCUCUCAGAGUGAGAUUCCUUCUCACCCUCUUCUUCAAUCAUCCUAAUGAAAUAGAAGGAGAAAUGAAGAAAACUGAAAAUGAUGCGAACAACUUUAAGAAAUCUCUGUAAUCCUCUUUAGCAGCCCUGGCAUUCAUUCGUUCAUUCUACAAACACUGACUGUCCAUACUGUGCCAGGUCUUGCUUGGCCUAGGUUCAGAAGAAGAACAAAUAAAGAGGUGCAAGCUUAUGUCCUUGAGCA